rnacentral:lncRNA from 1 species
UUCCUCAGUUGCAGUGAGAUGUGAGGCACUUGCAGAGACUCAGUCCACCACCCUGGGCAGCUUUCACCACCCUGGGCAGCUUUUCCGAGACGUAGGGACUGGCUUGCCGUAAUUCAUAGCUUCUGCUGUCCCUUGCUACAUACCUCCUGUUUGGUCACAAACUAGGAUUGCAGCAUCUGCUUGUAGGCUCAAAAUAAAGGGAUGGAGAAAAAUCGACCAAGCAAAUGGAAAACAGAAAAGAGCAACUUGCUUCCUGAAAAUUCACGGGUCUCGCUCUGUUACCCAAGCUGGAGUGCAGCGGUGUGAUCAUGGUUCACUGCAGCUUCAACUUCCUGGGCUCAAGGGACUCUUCCACCUCAGCCUCCUGAGUACCUGAGACUACAGUUCUGUGCCAUGCCUGGCUAAUCUUUUUUUUCUUUUGUAGAGACAGGAUCUUGCUACACUGACCAGGCUGGUCUUGACCUCCUGGCCUCAGGCUAUCCUCCCACCUUUGCCUCCCAAAGAAAAAUCAGUCUUUUGUUAUGUCUUCAUUUUAUUCACAUGCAUGCUUGAUUCAUGUUCUGUUGCUUCUAUUGAUUAUUAAAUCUGGUUUCAGAGUACUAGACAGACUGUCUUGCUGUGUUGCAUUCUACUGUUUUGACCACGAAAGGACAGGUUAAAUAUUGUGUUCUGUUACAAAAUGAAAUGGAAAACUAGGAUCAUUCACAAAAUAUUUGAUGUACUAUGGCUCAUUCUUUUCAUGGUUGUCUUUGUAUUUCAGAAAUGCUUCUUUACUGUUUGAAUGACCAUAUAUGGAAAAUAGACACCGUACAAACUCUUCCUCCUAGUUUCAAUUUUCUUUUUAACAAAAUGCUUCAUUCUUUUGUUGGACGUAGUAUAAGUAAUAUGCAUGCAACAGACAUCCCUGAAUUUCAACUCAUCCUAACCUUUCUGCCAAUUAAUGGAGACUUACAACUGAUGUUUUAUUCAUUUCUACAUUAUUUGACUGUUUUAUAGGAAUGUAUUAAUAAUCAGAAAAAUAAGAUACUAAUUUAUAGUAAGAAAAAUAGAUUAAGCUGCCUAGGUGAAUAGACUAAAAUAAGCUGGCAAUUGUCCUUUGGUUGUUAUCCUGGGAUAAUGAUUAAGCAGAGACAGGAAUAAAGGGGGUAAAGCCCUACGUAAAAGCUACCUUUGUAAGAGACAAAUUGUAGUCUUCCAAAAUUAUCCACAUGUGCCUUUUUGCACAACCCAAUUCAAACUAUCUGCUGUUCAUAGACAACUUUUGAGUAAGCCUAACAUUAUUAUUAGUUAAUAACAACAAUUGACUUCUCAUAAUUAAUCUAUAUUGCUUAUAAAUUACAACAUCAAUUAUUCCUUCACUUACGAGGUCUGAUAACUGGCAAUAAUGGGAACAAGCAAUGCUGUGUGUAGAUUGUGUGAGGGCAAAGCAUAGUUGAAUUCCUUUUUAUCCACCUAAGCUGACCAUCACUCAGUGAUGUAAAUUCAUAAGAUUGCAGAUUGCAGUGUCUACUCUUGCCUGAUAAUGUUGUCUAUAUUUUACCUGAUAUGUUAAAUAUGCUUAUUUUUCCUAAAUACAGACAUAAUAAUGGCCAAUUCACAGAGGGUUGUUGAUGAAAUAUGCCUCAAAAUAUUACCUCUCCCUCUACAAGUAAUGGAAAAUACAUUUAAUUUUUAGAGUUUUUACAAACUGAGUUUGUGGAAAUAAAGCAGGAUCACUUGCUCACUUGUUAACAGUCCAGGGUGUCACAUUCUUGAAUCAGGUUGGGAAGGUGCUCAUGAAGUUUAUACAAGACCUGUGAUAUGGGGAAUCUCUCAGAUGCGUGGGCAACUCCCUAUUUUGUCUCACAGGAUGUGAGAUGUGUACCUUUUUAUUCUCUUGAACUAAUCUAAAUACAUUCUAACAAUAAUGAGUAGAAACCAGCAAAUUAUGUAACAAAACAGAUUUCUUAUGGUAUGUUGGAAAUAUUGGUCUAAUCCCUUCAUUUUACAAAUAAAGAACUUGAAACCUGUAAUGAUUAAGUGGCCAAGUGGUUACAAGGUCAACUAGUGGCCCAGCUGGACUCAAACAUAGGUCUCCUGGAAAAGGGCUCUUUUCAUAACACUGCAUCAUAGCUGCUGGAAGAGACCCCAGGCACCAAAAGAUUCUUCCAGUAAGAUCCAAAGUCCUAUGGCUUAUUUUUCAAAAUGUUCUAAGGUAAAGAGUAUGAAAAAGUCAAGAUCUUAGAGGAUUUUUUUAAAAAUUCCUUUUAUCACAGUCUCUUUUUAAUGAUUGUAGCUGUCACAUUUUAGAAGUAAGGUAAGUUUGACUAUGGUUCUGUUUCAUAUAUUUUAGCUUGUCUCUGUCAGCAAUGUCACCCCCCUAACAACCUAAAAUCAUCUCUUGGCUUCUUUCUUAAAAACAUGUAUCCAGGUAGGCCAAAUGAUCUGUGGUCUCUGGAGUCAACUGCAGAAGAACAGAUUUCUAUUACAAUGGCCCUUUGAUGAACACAAUGUAUUAAUUUCACAAAAUACCCUGCCGGCAUAAAUGACCUAGUCUCAAGAGUUCUUUUAAAUGUCAGUCUGUUGGUACUAUACUGCUUAGAGCAUGAGGCUGGGAACAGAGAAAACUGCUGUGCAAAGAUAACUGAAUGUACUCUUAUGGCUAAAAUCACCCACAGUGGAUUUUCUUAUUUCUCUGAAAAGAAAAGAACACUAAGUGAUUCAGUUUCAGUGCAUGUGAUAACUAUCUUUGAAGUAUUGAAGAAAAUGUAUAUUUAAAUUGCUCUUACACAUUAUAACACCUUACUACAGUAACAAGACAACGACUAAAUCUAAGUCUCAAUGAAUCUCAAAUAAUACUGUACUGAGGCUCUAAUUAAUCAUGUAGAAAUUCCCUAGAUGCCUCACGUAAAUGCUACCAUCAGUAGAAAAUAUUAAAAUUUAUGUAUAUGUCAAUACAUCAUUAUAUGAAAAUUGGUAUGACAGAUCUGUGCAACUUCCACAAAUUUAAAUACCAAUUGCUAUGUUACAAAGCCAUUUGACCAAAUUAUUUCAAUGCAGCAAGUCGAGGUAGAGAAGAUGGAAAAGUCUAGGAAAUAAAAAUAAAGUGUUCAGAAAUGGGGGAGAAUGAGAACUGUGGGAAUGUUAAAGGAAAUAGUAUUAUUUAGGACAGGGAAGACAAGUCUGAAGGGUAAUUUAAUAACUAUAUUCCUAUAGUAUGUCUCCUCCUGAUAGGUACAGUAACAGUGCACAUGUAAAGUAUGAAAAUCACUUCCAAGCUUUUGAACAUAUUCAAAUAUUUUUCUCAUUUAACUCAGCUUAAGCCUUGCACCGUGAAAGUGCAGGCACAGAUCUAUUUUGCUUUGCCAGUAUGACACAAUCCUUAUGCAGUUCUUUCAAAUUAAAUUUCUCUAUUGUUUCUAAUCCAGGUCUUAGUGACUCUCUUACUCUAUGGCAAGGUCUACCAAUGCAUUAAAUGUGGGCAGUGUUCUUUAAGCCAGUGUGUAAUAAAAUGUCUAUGGAAGCAGCUUGUCUUUCAGGCUGCUUUCUUGCAUUAUGAGUAGUCUUUGACUUGCUCCAAUUUACUAUUGAAUGUCAGAAGAUAAAGGACUUUGGUAUCCUAGUAACAGGUGGGUUUUCCUUUUCAUGCAUCAGUUCUUAGAGUUUUCCUUUGGAAUGCUUCCCAUAAUGUUGAGCCAAGCUCACUUUGGCUGGUACAGAAAAGCAGCAUGACAAAUGGUAAGGAGAACAUCUUUACGUGUGUGUGCACACAGGCAUGUGUACACAUGAACAUGGGCAUGUCACAAAGGACACAGCAUCAAUAUCUUUGUCUUUAUUUAAAAUGUUAUGAUUUUCCAGAUAGAUGCUGUACUCAGACUUUGAGAUAUAUUUUGUGAGACAAAGUUUCAGAAUGUCUGUCACAGCUGCCACUCAUUCUUGUGUUUAUUUCUAAUUGUUGUAUAGGUGCCUCUUCAAAUAGUGUGCUGAAAGUUUGACAAAUUUCUCUAUUUUCUGAGUGCCGGGUUCACAAAAGGAUAGUGUAAAAAUCUCAAUUGUCCUUGGUUUUUUCCAUAAUGUUCACUGUCUUGCCUGCCGAUUCAACUGUCUUUAAAGGUUAAAAAAGGCAUUUUCUAUACUUAAAGUUCUAGAACUUUGGAAACUCCUACGAAACUUCUAUAAGGGACAAAUUUCACUCAUAUAUAUAACUG